UGUAUUUGUGGACAUGAGGAUGGUUA
rnacentral:piRNA from 1 species